GCGGAGGUUACCGAGCCUGGCCAAAGGUGGUGGAUUUAGGGUCCACUUCCACAGGGAUACGAGGGUUCAAAUCCCUCCCUCCGCA
rnacentral:tRNA from 2 species